AUGUCAGGGAUCCCCCUAAAUCUAAAUAGAGACUUUCUUGCUAGAAUAACUGUGGGGGAAUCUAGAGAUAUAACACAAGCUACUAUAGGGAGUGUUCACUUUCCUGCUAUACGUUAUUUUUCUCUCUUCAUAGGUAGAUGCAUAAAUGCUAAGGAUGAAGCAUGUCACAUGUGUGUCCCUGAUCUCAUUAUUCGCAUGAGUGCUGUUUUAGGAGACCAAUCUUAUCAUAUGGGAGACAUUGUAGCUCGCAGUUUGCAUCAGAAUAGACAUAGCGGAGAUUUCUUUGGAGGAAUUUAUGCAACCCGUUUAGCUAAUUUUCUUGAGAUAGACAUUCGCGAGGGUGAUAUGGAAUUACCCCCUUCUUAUUUAGACUUUGAUUCUAUGGUUUCCCACCAGUUUGUUGAGAGGACUGAACCACCUCUCCAGUAUCGACUCAUCUUUAACAGACGUCGUGUAGUCCAUAUUGCUCUUCCUGCUCCUGCCUUCUUUGAUUCACAGGCAAAAAGAAGAUAUAUUAUUACCAGAGAGGAGGCAGAUGAGUACGAAAGGAGAGCCGAGGCUGCUCGACUCCACGCUACAGCUCAGGCGGCAAUAGCCGCUGCAUCACAGUAUGACCCCAGCUUCACCUACGGAUAUCCGCCAGGCUGUCCCUGGCAAUAG
rnacentral:rRNA from 1 species